CUGAAAUAAAAAGAGGCUCUGCUUCAGAGAGGAAACGCUCUAUUUUCUGAGAAGGCUGAUUUAAAAUGUAUAGCUGCCACGUGUGUGUCUGGAUGACCGGUUCCACUCUGUGACCUUCCUGGAGUAACACCAAAAGCCUAUUUCAUCUCCUCCUUGAGCUGUGGCUUCUUGAACUGGGCCACAGGAGCGAGUUGCUGGGAAACCAGGCAUACACAGCCAAAUUGCUCAGUUUUGCCAGAUGUCUUGUGGAGUGAAUCAUGUAGCACUGGUGUCUGAACCAGCCCCACCACCUCCCCCAGCCUGCGCGGAGGCACGAACACAUACACAGAGCUCCAGCUUGAACUUCAUACGGUUCUAAGGCCCUUUCAUUGUCAGUCAUAGACUUGAGCUCCAACUCUUGCCAGAGGCUGUAGCGACACAAUGGAGGCUCUGUUUUUAAAACGAAAGCAUGGGGCUCAGACUUUUGUCUAGGUGAGGAAACGUAGACUAGCAAUUACCUGCCAGCAGAAGGCCUUAGAGGAGAGCUAUUGAUUUGACCAGGAGGUCAGGGGGGUCGACAGCUGCAGGGGAAGCGUGGAUGGGGGAGAGAACACAGCAAAUGUGUUGGAGGAGGGGUGGCCUUCAGGUGAGCGUACCCUCAACAAUGUAAAUGAAUGGUUCCUUAUUCAGACCUUGGUUACAUGAGCAGGUGUGUUUAAAACUAAGAAAAACUAUUUAUCAAGCUGACCUGUUGAUUUAAUAGCUGUAUAUAAGUCAUAAUAGAAGGCUUACAUGUACACCAAAAAAGCUAUUAACCUAUACUAGCAGCUAUAAAGAUGCAUCUUACCACUACAAGAGACAGUUCCGCAAAGUAUAUAUUCGAUGCUGUAUACUAGCCCAUCACUGUGUAGCACUCCGAGUCAUGUGAGUGCGGGGUUGCCCAGGUCAUGUGGU